rnacentral:misc_RNA from 1 species
GACGCUUGAGGGAUGUUCCAAUGCUAUAAGGAUAGGCACUGGAAAUGUUAACCGAGUCAUAAUCAAGCUUAGGCUUGGUAUCCUAUUAUUAUUUACCAAAAGAAUUCAGAAUUAAUAUUGUAACAUAGACGUAAAAAAUCUAUAAAACAACUUUUAACAACGGAUCUCUUGGUUCUCGCAUCGAUGAAGAACGUAGCAAAGUGCGAUAACUAGUGUGAAUUGCAUAUUCAGUGAAUCAUCGAGUCUUUGAACGCAACUUGCGCUCAUUGGUAUUCCAAUGAGCACGCCUGUUUCAGUAUCAAAACAAACCCUCUAUCCAACUUUUGUUGAAUAGGAUGACUGAGAGUCUCUUGAUCUAUUUUGAUCUUGAACCUCUUGAAAUGUACAAAGGCCUGAUCUUGUUUGAAUGCCUGAACUUUUUUUUAAUAUAAA